rnacentral:misc_RNA from 1 species
AUGCUCGGGGGUCCGGGAGGUCCCGGGGACGACAAGCACGCGCACGACCGUGUCCGAGGGUCUCUCAACCACCGCUUGUCGUGGCGACCGUCGCCGGGGACUCGAUUUUAGGCCAACCACGGGCGGGAGCGCGCGGGAGACCAGUAUCCGCCCCCGCCCUCGUGAGCCGAGGGGAGCGGGGGCGACGAUGCGUGACACCCAGGCAGACGUGCCCUCGACCAGGAGGCCUCGGGCGCAACUUGCGUUCAAAGACUCGAUGGUUCACGGGAUUCUGCAAUUCACACCAAGUAUCGCAUUUCGCUACGUUCUUCAUCGAUGCGAGAGCCGAGAUAUCCGUUGCCGAGAGUCGUUCAGAUUAUCACAAAAAGAAGGCGCGCCCCCGACACCGAGGCUACGAGGGCGUGCUCCUGGUACUCCAUUUCCUUGGCGCUUCUCGCGCCGGGGUUCGUUGGCGAGCCGUGUCGGGCGCGGACGCGUCCCUCCACGGCACGCGUGGACGCGAGGGGCGGGUGCCCCCCGAGCCCAGCUUGUCAUGCCACGGGUUCGCGGGU